UACGUAGGUGGCAAGCGUUGUCCGGAUUUACUGGGCGUAAAGAGCGCGCAGGCGGUUAAUUAAGUCGAAUGUGAAAGCCCCCGGCUCAACUGGGGAGGGUCAUUCGAUACUGAUUGACUUGAAGGCAGGAGAGGGUAGUGGAAUUCCCGGUGUAGUGGUGAAAUGCGUAGAUAUCGGGAGGAACACCAGUGGCGAAGGCGACUACCUGGCCUGUUCUUGACGCUGAGGCGCGAAAGCUAGGGUAGCAAACGGG
rnacentral:rRNA from 1 species